GGAGGGUCUGGGCAUAGGCGAGCCCCGCGGACUUGAAAUCCGUCAUACGUUCGCACGUAUUGCCGGUUCGACUCCGGCACCCUCCGCCA
rnacentral:sRNA from 1 species